ACAUACCGUUUCCCGUACGAUCAGUUAAGUUAAGCAACGUCGGGCCUGGACAGUACCUAGAUGGGUGACCGUCUGGGAAUACCAGGUGCUGUAAG